GAUGAACGCUAGCGGCGUGCCUAACACAUGCAAGUCGAGCGGGGUUGAAGCGAGAGGUAACUCGAGCUUCUACCUAGCGGCGGACGGGUGAGUAACGCGUGGGCAACCUGCCUCAAGGUUUGGGAUAACAGCCCGAAAGGGCUGCUAAUACCGGAUAUGCCUAUGGCCUCGCAUGGGGCUAUGAGCAAAGGGGAAACCCGCCUUGAGAUGGGCCCGCGUCCCAUCAGCUAGUUGGUGAGGUAACAGCUCACCAAGGCGACGACGGGUAGCCGGCCUGAGAGGGUGACCGGCCACACUGGGACUGAGACACGGCCCAGACUCCUACGGGGGGCAGCAGUGGGGGAUCUUGCACAAUGGGCGAAAGCCUGAUGCAGCGACGCCGCGUGAGCGAAGAAGGCCUUCGGGUUGUAAAGCUCUGUCUGGAGGGACGAACAAAAUGACGGUACCUCCGGAGGAAGCCACGGCUAACUACGUG
rnacentral:rRNA from 1 species